GACAGAGGGUGCAAACGUUGCUCGGAAUUACUGGGCGUAAAGCGCGUGUAGGCGGUUACGCGAGUCGGGUGUGAAAGCCCGGGGCUCAACCCCGGACGUGCACUCGAUACUACGUAGCUGGAGUACUGUAGAGGAUGGCGGAAUUCCCGGUGUAGAGGUGAAAUUCGUAGAUAUCGGGAGGAACACCAGUGGCGAAGGCGGCCAUCUGGACAGUGACUGACGCUGAGACGCGAAAGCGUGGGUAGCAAACAGG
rnacentral:rRNA from 1 species